UGAGACUGUGUUUCGAUCUUGUCCUACUAAUUUAUGUUCUAUUUGUGCGCUUGUAAAAGCCACAAACCAUAAAGCAGACGGCCGAUACAGGACAAAGCUAUAGUCACAAGCUAAACAGAACGAGCAAAGUUGUCAUAUAAGAAGAUAUUUCGGAGAUUCCUGCAUGGUCCAGAGCCAGACAAAGAAGGAGUCUCCCCCAAAUCGGGCUGGCAAUUGCCUUGUAGCAAAGCCAUCAACUAAACAAGACAAGACAAGACAACCAAUUUGCUAGUACUGUACUAACCUCACAAACAUCUUGCAAAACAAUAACAAAAGAUACCUAUUCAAAAAAGACAUCGAAUAAUAAGAUUUCAUUUGAAAGUGGAGAUAUUUGAUAGUGUGGGUCACUGCAGAUGAAUAAGGUUAAAAAGACUAUGAAACAUCCAAGUAAUGUAAUAUUCAAUGGUACUUCGGAAGCUCUAAUCAAGGUAAAAAAGAUGAACACAAUCUAAAAGAAGCUUAAGAUACCAAAGCCCAAGCCAGUUUGUAUCAUAAAAUCACUAGAAAAGGUCAUAAAAUAUGGACGAUUUGGACGAAAUGAUGGAGGAAUUACAUACCCAACCAGCAACACAUCGUGUGGUAGUAAAUAUAGACAACGAAUAUGCUACAUAUACUAGACUUAGCGAAAGUCAGGAUUCAUUAAAUAAGGAUGCCGAGGAGCCAAAUGGUAGCCUUAUGGCCACUACAUCAGUGAAACAGAUAGAGGAAGAUGAUAAUAGCACCCAGUGUUCUAAAAUUUUUUGUAAAUCAUUUUUAACAAUAUGGUUAGUGGACAUCCUCUUAAGCAUUUUAAUAAUAUUUGCGAUCAAUUACUAUAUCACAGGGCGAAUAUGGGGAUUUGGAGAGAUACCAAAACACAUAAUGAAAACAUCAUUCUAUAGAGCAUAUAUUCUAGCUAUAAUAGUAGUAAGUAUAAUAGCGUUCCGCACAAGAAGAAAACGCAAAGUUAAAAACACUAGCAACGAUAUGCAGAAAACUAAUGGAAAAGAAAACAUAUGAAGCAGAGCACCAACUGGAGCGAAUAACGUACCUAUUUGUGUAUUCAUUUCCAGUUUUGUUGUUUUAUUAUUCUUGAUUUAUGGUAAUAAUAGGAAUAAAUGGCAAAUUUAUAAUUUUUGCA
rnacentral:lncRNA from 1 species